AGUGAACGCUGGCGGUAGGCCUAACACAUGCAAGUCGAACGGCAGCACAGUAAGAGCUUGCUCUUACGGGUGGCGAGUGGCGGACGGGUGAGGAAUACAUCGGAAUCUACUUUUUCGUGGGGGAUAACGUAGGGAAACUUACGCUAAUACCGCAUACGACCUACGGGUGAAAGCAGGGGAUCUUCGGACCUUGCGCGAUUGAAUGAGCCGAUGUCGGAUUAGCUAGUUGGCGGGGUAAAGGCCCACCAAGGCGACGAUCCGUAGCUGGUCUGAGAGGAUGAUCGGCCACACGGGAACUGAGACACGGACCAGACUACUACGGGAGGCAGCAGUGGGGAAUAUUGGACAGUGGGCGCAAGCCUGAUCCAGCCAUACCGCGUGGGUGAAGAAGGCCUUCGGGUUGUAAAGCCCUUUUGUUGGGAAAGAAAAGCAGCAGGUUAAUACCCCGCUGUUCUGACGGUACCCAAAGAAUAAGCACCGGCUAACUUCGUG
rnacentral:rRNA from 1 species